rnacentral:lncRNA from 1 species
UCUAUCUUUCAGAUUUUAGUGCCUCUUCAAAUCAGCCAAUGGUCAUCAAGAGUUUCUUUGGCUUGAAAAAUUCAUCAGCCUGAGGAAAAUGGGACGAUGAACCUCUCCACAUUCACCUAGGUUGUUCUCUGCCGUAAUAGACCUACCCAGCCCUAUGCUCAAAGCACUUCUAAGUUGGAAAGACCUACCACAAUUUAUGUUCCUCUCACCUUGGAGAGUACAGUGUCAACUCUCUGCUGUGAUAAGGCAUCAGAGGAAGAGGACAGAUCAUCUAGCGCUAAGCAAAGCUAUUUUAAGAAGCAGUGCCUCAUUGCCUACACGCUACAUAUCUUCGGGGAUCCUUGUACACCACAGAAUGGCCUCUGCUUGGCCCCGUGCCGCGGGCCAACUCGUACGCUUUCGCCAGGCGCCCGCCGCGAUGUCUGGCGACGGAGCCGCCGAACAGGUGAGAUGGGGAGGCCGGUGGGGCCUCAUGGCCACCGUCUCUCAGCCGGGCCGGCCCGGUCGGGAAGGGGCGGGACGAGGGGACGAGAGGUGCUGCGGGCGUGUCUGGGCCGAGGCUAAGGGGCAACGGGGAGGCGGGGAUGGGGAGGGGGCCGUGCCCUGACCCCCCGCCGAGCCGCGCGUUGGGCCGGAGGGGGCGGGGCCAGGCCAGUGAGGAAGCCCCCCAAAGCAGCCCCGCCCCGACUUUGGGUCCUCCUCCCGGGACCCGUAGGAGCGGCGGGUAAACCUUUCUGCAGGGGCUGGGGGGUCGGAGGGAGUCUCUUAGAGCCAACUUUGGUGGACGAUAGGAACUUCCCACGUUCCACUGUCCCGUUCCGUUCCACUGCUUCCCCUCCCCCUCCCGAGCAUCGGGACGUGACGCAUAAAGCCCGCUCAGUUUCGGGGGCUGCACGGGCCCCCGAGGUGGGGUCGUCGCCCCAGUGCCGUGAGCUCCCGGCCAUUUAAAAAGUUCAAAGUGCCGCGUGCCCUCGUGGUUGGUUCAGAGUCUCGGGAGCUCUAGGUUGAGUUUAGGACCCCUUUAUCCGGCUUAGAGACGUUUUGACUCGGAGGAGGUAGAGAGGCUCAUUCCCCUCGUGCUGUGUUCCUAAACUUGCUUCCUUAGUGCAAAUGGGAGUUUCGAGCUAGUUUGAAAUAGCUCGGCCUUUUGGGAAGUUAACCGCACUUUAGCGGGAAAUAAACGGUCAGUCUUCCUUUAUCCCUGGGACUCU